GGUAGGAUGGCCGAGUGGUCUAAGGCUGCGUUCAGGUCGCAGUCUCCCCUGGAGGCGCGGGUUCGAAUCCCGCUCCUAUCA
rnacentral:tRNA from 1 species